rnacentral:tRNA from 1 species
ACAGGUAUGAUGGAAUGGAAGACAUAGUAGAUUCAAAAUUUAUGUUGCGUUAGCAAGUAAGGGUUCAAAUCCCUUUACCUGUA